UACGUAGGGUGCGAGCGUUAAUCGGAAUUACUGGGCGUAAAGCGUGCGCAGGCGGUUUUGUAAGCCAGAUGUGAAAUCCCCGGGCUUAACCUGGGAAUGGCAUUUGGGACUGCAAGGCUUGAGUGCGGCAGAGGAGACUGGAAUUCCUGGUGUAGCAGUGAAAUGCGUAGAUAUCAGGAGGAACACCGAUGGCGAAGGCAGGUCUCUGGGCCAUAACUGACGCUGAGAAGCGAAAGCAUGGGGAGCGAACAGG
rnacentral:rRNA from 1 species